rnacentral:rRNA from 1 species
GUUUCAUUUAAAAUUUAUAUAGAAUUUUAUUUUUUAGUUAAAAAGCUAAAAUAUGAUCAAAAGACGAGAAGACCCUAUAAAUCUUAAUUAUUUAAUAAUUUUUAAUUUAUUUUGGUUUUUUUUGUUAUAAAUUUAUUAAAUAAUUUUAUUGGGGUGAUAUUAAAAUUUAAAUAACUUUUAAUAAUUUUUGUCAUUUAUUUAUGAUUAAGUGAUCCAUUAUUAGUGAUUAAAAAAUUAACUUACUUUAGGGAUAACAGCGUAAUUUUUUUGGAGAGUUCUUAUCGAUAAAAAAGUUUGCGACCUCGAUGUUGGAUUAAGAUUCAUAUUUAAAUGCAGAAGUUUAAAUAUUAAGUCUGUUCGACUUUUUAUUCUUACAUGAUCUGAGUUCAAACCGGUGUAAGCCAGGUUGGUUUCUAUCUUUGAUUUAAUAAAAUAUUUUAGUACGAAAGGAAUUAAUAUUUAUUUUUAAGAAAUUAUUUUAUGAAU